UGAGAUAAGUGGCUAUGUUCUACGGAAUGCUUCUGCUGUGACCCUCUGCCUUUCCUCAGACCAAAGCAACGAGGCCAACCAACCACUGCCUGGCAAUCGCCCAAACUUUUGUGUGUCGUCAGCAGAGACUCUCAAGGCUUCACUUGAUGACCAGACUCUGAGGGAAGAUGUGGGUGCUAUCAGUCAAGGUCUUAAACAUCUCAAAUGAAGAUGAAGUUUAAGGACUUCUUCACAGUGCUUCAGGGAACAAAACCAUAUUCUGCCUAGGAAACCUUCCAUGUGAGCCUCAAAGGAUUAUUACAGAUGAAAGCCUGCAGAAAUCCAGCAGCAGAUUCCACAAAAGGGCAAGCCAACAAGACCUUGCCAAUCAUUAGGAGGCUGAACACAUAUGCACACAUUGUCCGGAGUGAGGCCAAAGAGGCUGGACUAGGACAAAAGUCAUAGACUGAGGUUGUGCAUGGGAAAAACAGUCAGAUGCAGCUCAUCUCAGUGAAUAAAAUGCUUAAAACACACUGUGAAUAAAUACAGUAGGGGAACCCUUUUUAUUUUUUUAAAAGCUAAUGAACUAGAAGCCUGAGUUAGAAGUAUGACCUCAAAACCAUCGUACAAGCAAAAACUAUGACAAUGAUUAAAGCUGAACACAUGAAAGAUGAAUAUAGAAAAGCCUGAGAGACAUGAGGAGAUGAAAUGAACAGAAACAAGGCAACAGUUUAAUUCACUGUCAGUCAUGAGAUUCUGUGAUUUCUGAAAAGGUUAAUUUUGUACUUAAAAUACUAGAGGAACCAGAAAUAUACUCAUUACAAGGAAACCUCACCUGGACCGUCCUGUGGUGAAACUGAGAAACAUCAAAGAUAAUGUGGCCACAAACUUUCCCAAAUGCAUGGCACACCUCCCUUGGAUGCUGUGGACUAAAACAGAGGAGCAUCAGUGAAAAGGAGCUCAUAGCAAUGCAGACGGGGACACAAGAGCAGGCUGCAGCGAAGAUGACAGCUUUGCAGCACCACCAAGGCAAACAUGUCUCGGUGAAAGUAUAGCAUUAAGGUACAGUUUAACCAUCCAACGAUCUACUUAAAGUUUUUAAAAAUUGGUUUUACGAUAAGGAAGACAUUCAAAAUGGAAUUGCUGAUAAUCUCUGAAAAGAAAAACUGUGAUAGAUACUAGGAUGCUGAGGUGGUUGAAGGGAAGGGGUAAAUGAUUUAGCCAUAUUAUAAAAACAUAAAAUUAAAAAAACCACACAUUUAAAGAUGUAGACAAGGGGGCUGGUAUAUCAGUGGUUAAGGGAGCUUGUUGCUCUUCCAGAGGACCUUGUUUCAUUUCCCAGA